AACUACAAGAAAAGAGCAGAGAACAGG
rnacentral:sRNA from 1 species